AAUCUUUUUUUCACUUGGCCUGCUACUUCCAUUAAAAAACCAUUCUCUUACAGUUAAAAAAAAAAAAGCCCUCCCCUACCCAACCUCCGCCCAUUGUUCUCUUCCAAGGGCAGUUUAGUAGGAUCUGCUUUGUACAUCUCAAGUAAGAGUUAAGUCCCUGAUAUAGGGACCAGUUUCUUAGUGUAAGACAUACACAUCCUGCUUGUCCAGCUGUUCCUCCAAAUUCUACUUUGGCUUCAGCUCCGGAUCCUGUACCAGAUGGAAAAUGUUUUUGGUGAUCUGGCUGCUGCUUAAAGCCAGUUUUCCCUAAGAACUCCAAAGGCUGAAGUCUACUAGGGGCAGAGUGUGAGGAUAGAUUUCUAAUCAGAGAAAAGUGGCCUCCAGGAGCUUUCAUUUAUGUCUUCUCCAGACCAGGUUUUCCUGUUAUCUUCCUUUAAUCCCCUUUCAACCAACAGGUGAAGUUCUUCCAGCCCACAGAGGUAGUAAUAUCAUCUUUUCUAUCUCCUCCUCUCCUUUGGCCAUGUAAUGAAGCAAAAUAUUAUUUAUUUAGCCCAGGCUUGAGAGCCACUGUUUGUGGACAGUCUUCAUCUAGACUCCAUACCCUGGCCUAAGCGAGGUAAGGCUCUCUGGUUAUUGCCAGGAUGGAGCCCCCCUACCCCAGUCUGCUGUAGGGAAUACCCUAAUUAGUUGAGACAUGCUUUUGGAAUCCUGGCAUGUUGGCAUAUGGCUGGUCUAUCCUUUUUAAGAUCUCUGGUUGGGGGUAUCUAGAUAUGGAUUAGGAGGGACAAGGAGCCUUUUUCUUGGCUAAUGUGUUCCAAUACUUUUUUGAAUGGUGCCAGCCCCUCCAGGCAUCCCACCACCAAAUCAUCAUCUUUAGUACUAACAGGGUCUCUGGUCUUAGAAGCCUGCCUUCAGAUCCCAGCUGACCCCAGUGACUGCCUGGCCUUGAUGUUGGCUGCAGCCUUCUGAUAGAACCACAUGGAUUCCACCCACAGCUGGCCAGGCUUGUUACAUGGGUCAGGGAAUACAAAUGCCCCCGCCCAGGGAGCAGGUGUUGGCCUCAGUUUUCAGGGACCCUUGGUGUUGCUCCUUACCUAGAGCCCAUUAAUCUACCCCAUCAACUCUCUGCCAUAAAAGCCAUCUUCCAGGAGCCCUGUUUUUUGGAGCUGAACUGCACAGAUUAUAGCUGCUAUUGUACUUAAAUAAGGGAGAGGAAAAGAAGGUUCUCAGGCACAGACUUUCUAUUUUUCUCAAGCCAAACCAGUUUAAAAUGUCUAGCAGAAUGAACUGUAUUUCCAUUUCUUCAUGUCUACCUGCCUUCCCCCCACACCCUAAAGUUGUACUUGUUUCUAGCAAACUAGAAGGAAAGGAUAGGAAAGCCUGGCACUACUAACCUCACCUCUUAUACACCUCUUUGAAGGCCCCAGCUCUUUUGUUCAGGCCUCUCUUCUCCCCUAGACUCACUCAGCUUGGUAUCCAUCAUCUUGAGCAUUCUUCAGUAGAUUCAUCUAGGGUGCAGAUUCCAGACUCUCAGCUGAAGACAGGGAGCCAAUUUCCCCCAGGUCCCUGCAGGUAAUCUAGGGACCCCGUAGGGAGAACAGGCUGACUGGGGGCAUUAGGAAUGUUUGUACCUCUCUGCCUCCCUGGCAGCCUGGGGAAGGGUGCAGGGCUCAGUGCACUAAACCAUGGUAAACAUCUUCGAUAGAACUACCCUAGAAUUUAGUGAGUGUGAGACUGAGAUAUUGCUCAGAAUAAAUUUCUUCAAUAGCCAUUUAGAAUUGCAUGUUCUAGACCAACCUUGUCCAGUAUGUUUUCUGUUUGAGCUUCUUAAUUCUUUUGUUAAGCCAGCAAGUUGAGAAUUUGGCCCUGUUGGGAUCCAUGUAGUGGGCACUAGCUGCUCUUUGGCCAAGGCCUUCAUAAAUGAUUCAGUCUCUCAUUAUCUGUCCUCUAGCCCCACACCCUGAUUUAGACCGUGGCAAAGGAAGAACUUGAGGUCAAGACCAACCAAAUCUGUGAAUUAAAGCUGUUAUUUUUUUCUCUGCAAGGGUGCUUCGCUUCAGGUCUGGGCUAUGUGCAGAACCUAAGCAGGCUGUGAGAGUUAGAGGCAGCAUUACAUGUUAGGCCCAGAACACCAUGGGAAAAGGUUUAUGUAGCGUAUCUUAGUGGCCUGCCUAGCUGCCUCUGGGCCAGGCUGACUUCUGAUGUCCACAUUAGCUCAUACCUGAACCCUGUUGCUGAAUGCCAGCCCUGUUCUCCUGUAACUACUAUAUAUGCCAUGGCCUGGGGGACAUUGAAGGAAGUAAGCUCUCAGAGAUCCUAACACUGGCUGGGAACCUCUGACUCAGAGCAUGUCUUUAAAGAGUCCACAUCUGGCCGGGCGUGGUGGCACAUGCCUAUAAUCCCAGCACUUUGGGAGGCCGAGGCGGGCGGAUCAUGAGGUCAGGAGUUUGAGACCAGCCUGGCAACAUAGUGAAACCCCAUCUCUAAUAAAAAUACAAAAAAUUAGCUGGGCAUGGUGGCAGGCGCCUGUAAUCCCAGCUACUUGGGAGGCUGAGACAGGAGAAUCACUUGAACCCAGGAGGCGGAGGUUGCAGUGAGCCAAGAUCAUGCCACUGCACUCCAGCUCGGGUGACAGUGCGAGACUCCAUCUCAAAAAAAAAAAAAAAAAAUCCACAUCUUCAGCUGGGCGCGGUGGUUCACGCCUGUAAUCCUAGCACUUUGGGAGGCUGAGGCAGGCAGAUCACUUGAGGUUAGGAGUUCAAAACCAGCCUGACCAACAUAGUAAAACCCCGUCCCUACAAAAAUAAAAAAAAUAAGCCAGGUGUGGUGGUGGGCACCUGUGAUCUCAGCUACGUGGGAGGCUGAGGCAGGAGAAUCUCUUGAACCUAGGAGGCAGAGGUUGCAGUGAGCCAAGAUUGUGCCAGCCUGGGCAACAGGGCGAGACUCUGUCUCAAAAAAAAAAAGUCCGCAUCUUCAUGAACCCUCAGACUCUGGAGUUGGGUGUCGGCUUUUUUAGCCAGCUUUUGUGGGAAUUGCCUUUGACCUAUUAAGGAAAGUGGGUAAUGGAGUCCCAGCCACUCAAGAGACUGGAUAUCCCCCAAGAAUGGCUUGGGUUACCAGCUAUGGACCCUUGGAAGAUGAAUCUAAUCCUUCUCACUGGUUUUUCUUUGCAAAUUCAUUUGCUUUUAUUUUUCUAAUAACAAUAAACUCUAUUUUCCAUGUUCUCAGGGCCCCUGGGUAGACAGACACAGCUUGAUUUCAGAGCAGACGUAGGCCAAGAAAACAUGGCAUUGAGUGUGCUGAGUCCAGACAAAUGUUAUUUAUAUAUACAUCCAAAUUUGAAGAGAAAAUGUAUUUCUUUAGGUUUCAAACACUGUAAUAGAUAUAAAGCAAAAAUAAAAACCUGUUGCAAA
rnacentral:lncRNA from 1 species